AACGAACGCUGGCGGCGUGGAUUAGGCAUGCAAGUUGGACGAAGUCUACUAGCUUUUUCGGAGACUUAGUGGCGAACGGGUGAGUAACACGUGGGUAAUCUACCAUUUGGCUGGGGACAACUUCUGGAAACGGAAGCUAAUACCCAAUAAGCUUAUAUUCUUUUCGAAGAAUAUCAGGAAAGGCGGGGAUCUCUUCGGAGACCUGUCACCAUUUGAUGAGCCCGCGCAAUAUCAGCUUGUUGGUGGGGUAAUGGCCCACCAAGGCUAUGACGUUUAGCUGGUCUGAGAGGAUGGUCAGCCACAUCGGGACUGAGAUACUGCCCGG
rnacentral:rRNA from 1 species